CAUAGGUGAACAGAGUGAUGGAUGAAAAAGUGAAACCGGCAGGAACAUAAAGCAAUACUGCCUACUACGACUUACUACCAGAGCAUGGCAAUGAAAUCAGGAAGUGGGAGGGUCGGGAACUCACAGGAACAGCAGAGGAGCAGGAUCACGACAGCCUCGAUCUGCUGCUCGGAGAGGAGAUGGGGGCUGAUCUCUACAGACUCUGGCAAUGGAGCUACCAUGUUUUCAGAUUUAAGCCUUGACAUAUGAGCCAGGCUCUGGUGCCUACAAUCUGUGGCUUCCUUGAAGCAAACUGGCAACAGGAGGAUAGCCAGAGAGCCAGGAAGUCAGAACACCAUGGACAGCUGCUGAUGGGAAAAGGGCUUCCAUAUGGAAUACACAUGGCAGGAGAAAGGAGACAAGGUGGAGUCAGCUGGCAAGGUAAGCCCUGCCCUGCCCGCCCUCAUGGUGCUGGUUUGGCCCAUGGGUGGCAGAACCAAGACGCUGUUGGGUGAAGUAUAACACAGCAGGAGAACAGAGCAGGCCAAGGGGUAAAGGGCCCCUUUUUCAGAUGCAAUCCUAACCGCACUUUUGCCCACUCGGGUGAAAGGCACUGGUUCUCACUUUGAAUUCUGGGGAUCAUUUGUCGUUUUGCAAAUGUGCAUCUCAAUUACUGCAAAGCGGUGUCCUCUUUUCAUUCUCCUUUUUAAGGGGA